GUGACCUUGCCUUGCACUGUUUUAGGGAAAAGAGCACUUUCAUAGUGUAUAUGAGUUGAGGGCUCAAGAAGAAUUGUUUUCCUCUUUGGUGGGUUGUUUCCCUGUACAUGUAGUCAACGAGCUGUUGACAUUUUAAUAAGGGCGCCACCUUCUAAUUGAGCCAACUCCCCGCAAAGUGUGUAAAAUAUAUUCCUGUCAUUUUUUCCCCAUCAGGUCUGUGCCCCAGGAGGGUUCUUGGUCACAGAGCUGGAAGUGUCACGUGGGGGAGCCCUGCACAGCCAGCGCUGAUGCACUGAAGAGUCCAUUUUCCUUUUCGAAAUCCGGGGCUGUGUUUUGCUUCUCCUGGCUGCUGACGGUGCAUCUGAAAGGAAAAGGAGAGGACGUGACACACACAGAAGGGAGACCGUGUGAGGACACAGAGAGAAGACGGCAUCUACAAGCCUAGGAGAGGGGCCUCCGAGAAACCAAGCCUGCCAACACCCCGAUCGCAGCCUUCCAGCCUCCAGAGCUGUGAGAAACAAUCCGGAAAUCAACUCGGCUCAAAUGGUUGGAAAAUACAUCCCGAACGGACCACUUCUCCCCCGUCCCCGACUCUCAGCCUGCUGGGGGCCCAUCACCUGCUGCCGGGACCAGUGCAGGCGCCUCACUGGCCGCCCGUCCUCUGCAUCCUCGGCGUGGCCUCAGCACGCCCACCUGGGCGCUCACAAAUUCAAGUUCGGUCAGGUGGCCCCUCACCGAAAGCCCCACGGUGGCCUCCGUUUCACCCCCGCUGGCAGCUGUGAUUCCGGCCCA